AUCUGAUGUUAUAAACUCUUAAAAAUACUCUUAUCUUCUUUUAUUUUUUCAGACAUGCAAAAUGGCUCAGCCUUAACAGCCAGGCCUCAAACCUCGCUGCCGAGGCGAUCUUCCAGAGUCCACCAGGACGAAGUGAAAUUCAUACAGCAAGGCAGAGUGUGAUAAGCAGAGGAGAUAUACAACAUGGCGGACAUGAUCUUCAAUAUGAGGACACAGGGACGGUAUGCAAGAAGCUGACUGUGGUGAGGUGGAGACCCCAAGUUCCCUCAUCCAGGAGCUCAGUGACCUGAGGUCUACACUACAGGAGAGACGUCGGGUCUGUCCUGAACGCAGCACAAUGUUGGAUCAUAUUUGGACAAAAAAAAAACAGUGCCAGA